rnacentral:rRNA from 1 species
GAUGAACGCUGGCGGCGUGCCUAAUACAUGCAAGUCGAGCGAACGGACGAGAAGCUUGCUUCUCUGAUGUUAGCGGCGGACGGGUGAGUAACACGUGGAUAACCUACCUAUAAGACUGGGAUAACUUCGGGAAACCGGAGCUAAUACCGGAUAAUAUUUUGAACCGCAUGGUUCAAAAGUAAAAGACGGUCUUGCUGUCACUUAUAGAUGGAUCCGCGCUGCAUUAGCUAGUUGGUAAGGUAACGGCUUACCAAGGCAACGAUGCAUAGCCGACCUGAGAGGAUGAUCGGCCACACUGGAACUGAGACACGGUCCAGACUCCUACGGGAGGCAGCAGUAGGGAAUCUUCCGCAAUGGGCGAACGCCUGACGGAGCAACGCCGCGUGAGUGAUGAAGGUCUUCGGAUCGUAAAACUCUGUUAUUAGGGAAGAACAUAUGUGUAAGUAACUGUGCACAUCUUGACGGUACCUAAUCAGAAAGCCACGGCUAACUACGUG